AUGUGUGUUCGAUGCAGAGCCCAGCAAAGAGUGCCUAGUGAUUCUUCAAUUAAAAAUGUUCUUAGACCUUGCUCUCCUCUUUUUCAACCCUAUCAGCUCCAUGACAACUGUCAGCACAUUUUUCAGAUUUAAUGAUCAUUAAAGAGCUCCACUCCAGUAUCAGAGCUGCUCCAUGGCUGGUGCUACUCACGUCUGCCUUGGGAGCCUCACCUGUCCUGUACAGCUUCCAGCAUCAACUGUGCUAUGAGAGGCAAAAGAUGCAUAAAGGAACUAGACAGAGGAAAUGCAAGGAAGCCAGUUGGAUUUGCAUGAGUUUGGAGGGAUAUGAUGGAGAAUCAAACUCAGCCAUUCCAAGUGCAUCUACUCUGGCAGUUUAAGUGGACUGCAAGAGAACAGCCAAGAGGUGAAAUAAAGACAUAUGUGAGUUACAGAACACCAGUGUGUAUGACUUGG